rnacentral:rRNA from 1 species
AGCGAACGCUGGCGGCAGGCCUAACACAUGCAAGUCGAACGAACCUUUCGGGGUUAGUGGCGGACGGGUGAGUAACACGUGGGAACGUGCCUUUAGGUUCGGAAUAACUCAGGGAAACUUGUGCUAAUACCGCAUGUGCCCUUCGGGGGAAAGAUUACUCGCCUUUAGAGCGGCCCGCGUCUGAUUAGCUAGUUGGUUGAGGUAAUGGCUCACCAAGGCGACGAUCGGUAGCUGGUCUGAGAGGAUGAUCAGCCACAUUGGGACUGAGACACGGCCCAAACUCCUACGGGAGGGAGCAGUGCGGAAUCUUGCGAAAUGGGCGAAAGCCUGACGCAGCCAUGCCGCGUGAAUGCUGAAGGUCUUAGGAUUGUAAAAUUCUUUCACCGGGGACGAUAAUGACGGUACCCGGAGAAGAAGCCCCGGCUAACUUCGUG